GAGAAUAAACAUGUCUGCAGUCCCCACAGCUCUUCAAGUCUUCUUCCAUCUUCCCCGGUCACGCCUUAUCUACUCCGGGUUCAGUGAACAGUGUGAGCGGCAAGACAACUACUUACCAUGAACACGGGAUUCUGAAAGUACUUUAUAUCCAUGAUUUUCUCCAACUCUCAAGACAGUUUCUGUGAGGAGAGCAUUAUUAUCCGCCAUUGUUGGAAUGAGAAAGCCGAGUCCACAAGAAGCGCCAGGUUCCAGUGAUUAUAACCAGCCACCUGGGUUCUAUCUUCUAAACCACGCAGCUGCUGCUUCUAAACUUCAGGAAUCCUGAGAAGCACCAGCUGAGAGUGACAGAGCUGGACAUGAAUAUUCACCUUUUUUCUGUUUGAUUGAGUUAUUGCCUGUUUCCCACAUCUGCUUGAAAUUUUAUACUGCAUCCUGGCUCAACAACUCUGUACCACGGGAACUGAGAUUUGUACCCUAGUGCCUGCCCUGAAUUCUACUGAGAAGUGUCUCCAAAAUCCUGCCGAGAUGACUCCUGGGUCUACCCAUGGAAUGCCUUCUGAAACUCAUAUAUCACAAGUGUUCCUCACUUUCAAAGCAGAAAUAAAAAAUAAAAAGUAGUGGAUUGUCUUUGCCCCAGGUCCCUUCCCUGACUUUGAGAGAGCUAUUUGGAUGAGAUGGAAUUCUACCAUCAAGCUGUUGAAAGACAGCCACUAAAUUAUUGCCUGAUUCCUAUUAUAUACCAGCAUUAUGCUAAAAAUUCUAUAUUCAUUAUUGCAAAUGCUCACAACAGUGUAAGGUAGCACUGCCCCCCACCCCUUACCAGAUGGAAAAAUUUAAGAUCAAACAGUGUUCUCAAGUUGACAAACCAGCAAGGAACAGAGCUGGAAAUGUAAACCCUUGUUUGUUUUACUUCAAGGUAUCUAUAAGGGCUCUUCAAAAAUGGUAGAUUCCUUUCUCACUCUAUCACAUUCCCCACCACUACACCAUUACCUAUAAAUUAACCGACUACUUCAAAAUGUUUUUUUUUAAUGUUCAAGUUCCAAAGUAAUUUACUCCUUGAUCAACAAAAACCAGCCCACGAAUCUAUAUACAUAUUCCUUUUGACUAAAUGAUAGUGACAGCUAGCACUUAUCAUUUAUGUUUGCCACCAUUCAGUGUAUGUGUCUUAACUCAUUUAGGCCUGUUACAAGGAGUAACACGUUGCUUGCGCAUCAUACUCUCUGAUUACUCAUCACACUUUCGUGUCUGGCUCUUUUUCACCUUAAAGAUGGAAGACAUAAAAUUCUUCAAGUUACUGUAGAGGUCACACUUGUCUGAAAAGGGUAUAUUUCAGGAUAAAGGUAGAAUCUUUUUCCAAGAAAAUAAUCUCUCCUCCCAUAACAAUAAAUACUGUUCUACUCCAUUUGGGUAGCAUUCUUUAGACUCUGGCAGGAAUGUAGUAUACCAAAAUCAGGGUUUAUCACCUAAAGGCUGCAGUAAAGUUAUUUUUUUUAAUUUAUAUAGUACAUGUUC